UGCUCAAGCACACAAGUACACACAGACGCACGCUUUGUUGGGUCCCAACGGGCAUUUUGUGCUCCCACUUCUACUUGUACUGUAGAAGCUGCUGUGUGGGCUUUUCAGCAGACAAGGAAGCAAACCUUAAAGUGUGCUGUACCUACAGUACGGGGACGAGACCAAACAGAUCCGCAUGCCCAAUGAGAUCACAGGCAUCGAUACGGUCAGAGCUCUGUUUGUUAGUGCCUUCCCGCAGCAGCUCACCAUGAAGAUGCUGGAGUCCCCCAGUGUAGCCGUAUACGUCAAAGAUGACAUGAGGAAUAUGUACUACGAGCUCACCGAUGUCAGGAACAUCACAGACCACUCCUGCUGAAGGUCUACCACAAAGACCCAGCACAAGCGUUCAGCCACG